GAGGAGGAGGAGGAGGAUGAAACUGCAGAUGAUGAAGGUCUUGUCAGUUUAUCAGCAGGCCAAACCCUCCAGAUUUUAUCUCGGUGUGGCCUAGUCAGUUCUGUCUGAGAGGCCUCCUUAUCGGCGCAGUGCUCUGGCCUCCACUGCUCUAUCUCUGGUUGGCACAUUGAGCUGCAAUGAGCAGUUGUUGGCAGCAACAUCAAGAGACACGUCAAGGAAAGAAAAUGGAACACAAAACGAAUCAACAAUCAAUUGCACCGAGUUACAGAAACUAUACGACGACAGGAAAACUGACCCCAACAGGAUGUUCUGGAGACCACACUCAGAACUUCUGCUUCAGGCA
ensembl:lncRNA